AUGAACGCUGGCGGCGUGCCUCAUACAUGCAAGUCGCGCGAACGGACGAGAAGCUUGCUUCUCUGAUGUUAGCGGCGGACGGGUGAGUAACACGUGGAUAACCUACCUAUAAGACUGGGAUAACUUCGGGAAACCGGAGCUAAUACCGGAUAAUAUUUUGAACCGCAUGGUUCAAAAGUGAAAGACGGUCUUGCUGUCACUUAUAGAUGGAUCCGCGCUGCAUUAGCUAGUUGGUAAGGUAACGGCUUACCAAGGCAACGAUGCAUAGCCGACCUGAGAGGGUGAUCGGCCACACUGGAACUGAGACACGGUCCAGACUCCUACGGGAGGCAGCAGUAGGGAAUCUUCCGCAAUGGGCGAAAGCCUGACGGAGCAACGCCGCAUGAGUGAUGAAGGUCUUCGGAUCGUAAAACUCUGUUAUUAGGGAAGAACAUAUGUGUAAGUAACUGUGCACAUCUUGACGGUACCUAAUCAGAAAGCCACGGCUAACUACGUG
rnacentral:rRNA from 1 species